rnacentral:rRNA from 1 species
CCUACGGGUGGCAGCAGUAGGGAAUAUUGCUCAAUGGGGGAAACCCUGAAGCAGCAACGCCGCGUGGAGGAUGAAGGUUUUCGGAUUGUAAACUCCUUUUGUUAGAGAAGAAAAUGACGGUACCUAACGAAUAAGCACCGGCUAACUCCGUGCCAGCAGCCGCGGUAAUACGGAGGGUGCAAGCGUUACCCGGAAUCACUGGGCGUAAAUAGCGCGUAGGCGGGAUAGCAAGUCAGAUGUGAAAUCCUUUGGCUUAACCAUAGAAGUGCAUUUGAAACUGUUAUUCUAGAGUAUGGGAGAGGUAGGUGGAAUUCUUGGUGUAGGGGUGAAAUCCGUAGAGAUCAGGAGGAAUACUCAUUGCGAAGGCGACCUGCUAGAACGUAACUGACGCUGAUGCGCGAAAGCGUGGGGAGCAAACAGGAUUAGAUACCCUUGUAGUC